UUGAGCCAUUGAAGAAGAAGACCAAGGCAAAAUGAUGUCCCCGAAGAAAUUGUUACAUUUAUUUGCAUGCGACCAUUAUUUUUUUUAAUCAAUUAGGGCAUUUGUGAUUGUUAAGCUUGAUUUUAGUAAACAAAUCGGGCUAUGUACCAACAGAAUCGACUGAGAAACAUUUUUUGUCAAGUGAAAGUGGCCAGAAAUGGACCAAGUUUUAUGCACAGGAGACUGCAAUUGCCAAUUAGUAAGCACAUAUUAUUUGGUUCUGAAACGAAGCAUCGCAAGGACCGCAACCCUCGCCGCCCGGUAAGAGAGGAUUGGUGAAAGUCGGAAAGACGCAAUUUCCCGAAAAUAAAUUCACGAAUAUGUAACCAGAUGAAUAUCGACAUAUAACCUGCCAGAAUUCAAAGGGAAAACGGCAGUAUACAGGAGGACGAAUCAAAUACAUAAAUAAAAAGUAAUGAAAUGUAGUUAAAAUCAUAGAGAAAAAAAUAUAAAAAUAUGUUAAUAAUAACAAAAUAA